CACACUUUCAAUCUGUGGCUGCACAUGAAUCCGCCAAAGAACUGCGAGCUAUUUAUUAUACAUGCAAAAGAUGGAGGGAGCUAAGAAAGAUGAUGUCCAUUGCAGCUGCCAACGCUGAAAACUCAUCAUCUUCUUUAAAGUUCAUGAGCCUCAAGCAACUUCAGCGGGAUCAUGUAUGCUUGAUUAAGCCCAAAGCACUCAUUACCCUGCCGGACAAUACAUCUCCCUAGGACUGACUCGGCAUCAGGAGAUGACCCUCCUAAACCUGCUCAAGGAGACAGAGAAAAUACUCCACACGGGAAUGUUCAAAACAGGAGCUUCUGUUCCCACUCUCUGCAGCAAAAGAUAACGUGUUUGGACUAAAGUUGGCCUUUGAGAACACCCUUCCUCCAACAAGUUUUUAAAUACCUGCAGUUCCUCUAACAUGCAUGCAAUAUUAAAAACUUAAAAUAAUGCAGAAUGCAGGUAUGGCAAUUGUUACAAGAGGUUCUGUUCAAUGUUGCUGGUUGCAGUAAGACGAUCUUGUUGUAAGCAUUUAUUUGUGCAUUACUUUAAAUGAUUUAUGCAAGCUGAUAUAAAAGUAAGUACUCGAGAAUUCAGUAAUUGUACAGCAAACAAAUCCAAUAGCACAUAAGUAAAUGCGAAAUUCCAAAGAUGACAACAGUUACCAAAAAAUAGCUCAGAAGAUACUUUCUUCAAAAAAAUCACUCAACCUCAUUUCCCUUUGGCAUAAGGAAGUGACCCAUGAAUAAAGUAUUACUUCAUUCAGCUUUAAAUCCUAUUUCUAAAAGCACUUCCCAUGUUCUACAAAGUCUACAUCUAGUAAGUUCUAAAACAGUUUAUAUUUCAAAAUAAAAGCAAGUUUCCAGCAAUUGAAAGAUACAGUUAAAGAACUAAACACUCUUCUGUUCAACUCAGCAUGACAAAUAUCUGACACUAUUUUGCAGUCUAAGUAUCUUUUAACAUACUGUACUAUGCUUACAAAGUAUUCCUGUUUUAAUGCUAACACGUUUAUUAUUUCACUUAAUGUUCUAUGUCUCAAUGACAUUGAAUACAUAAUACAGUGCUUUUCCAGUUUCACUAAAUCAGCAGAGUUCUCCCACAAAUUUAUAGAAGUAUACUCACCACUGCAAAUAGGAAUAUUGCUUUCCUAAUGGCCAGAAUUAUCCAUUCAAUUUCCAUGAUCCUCAGUUACUCUAUUUAGUUUGAGAAAUUGAGAAUUCCUUCAAGUAAAUUUGAAGUCCAAAUACUGAAAUCUAGACUGGAAUUAAUAACUUAGAUACUACAAAAUGCUGUAUCUUAAUUUAACUGCUGUUGUUGCAAGUCAGUUCAUACAACUACCUUUGUGACACGUAAGUCUUUUAAUAGAAAGGUAAAAAUAAAUCUUUUGGUUUACUUUCACUGUAA